GCCUUGCUAAGUUGCUGAGGCUGGUCGCAAACUUAGUAUCCUGCCUCAGCCCCUGAAGUCACUGGGAUUUCAGGUUUGUGACACUGCACCCGGCUCCUUCCUUUCUCACAAAUGAAACUGAGAUUAUGAACCAAAGGGCACAGCUGAGAUACUUAAGACUUUGAUGCAUCUUUCCAGAAGUCUCUGGAAUGAACACUAAUGCUGUCAGGGAAGAUAGGAAGACUGAAGACUGUGCUGAUGAAGGAAACCCAAAGGCAACGUCCACCUGCGUGGACCCUGAGCUGUGGACGUUGCCUUGGCGCCCCCUUGUGGUCUGAAGAUCACAUGUGCUCGUGCCUGGGCUGAUUCAAAGCAGAAGUCCGCAAGGUCGCUUGUCCUGGAAGGAGGCGUGGUUUCUGCCUCCCUGAGGUUUUCCUGUUCCCUUCUCAGGCUGAUCAUCUGUUGGAUCAUUUACUGGGCACACCUGUAUAGCAUCAGUUAGCACCCUGAAGAUAAAACAGUCAACAAUGGAACGCAGAGAAAGAUUAUCAUCAGUAUGUAGUUGCUCUUCAGGCCAGAGCAGAUGACUCCAGAUUAAUCCCAAGGAACAAAUCUUAUCUGCAAUUUGAAGAAUGAGAAACAUCAAGAAUAACAGUA